rnacentral:rRNA from 1 species
CGCGUAGGCGGCGAUCCAAGUCAGGGGUGAAAUCCCGGGGCUCAACCCCGGAACUGCCCUUGAAACUAGAUUGCUAGAAUACUGGAGAGGUGAGUGGAAUUCCGAGUGUAGAGGUGAAAUUCGUAGAUAUUCGGAAGAACACCAGUGGCGAAGGCGACUCACUGGACAGUUAUUGACGCUGAGGUGCGAAAGCGUGGGGAGCAAACA